rnacentral:rRNA from 1 species
CGUAGGCGGUUUUAUAAGUUAGAGGUGAAAUCCCGUGGCUCAACCACGGAACUGCCUCUGAUACUGUAAGACUAGAGAAUGGUUGCUGUGGGCGGAAUGUGUGGUGUAGCGGUGAAAUGCUUAGAGAUCACACAGAACACCGAUUGCGAAGGCAGCUCACAAAGCCAUAUCUGACGCUGAGGCACGAAAGCGUGGGGAGCAAACAGGAUUAGAUACCCUGGUAGUCCACGCCGUAAACGAUGAUAACUCGUUGCCGGCGAUAUACAGUCGGUGACUUAGCGAAAGCGAUAAGUUAUCCACCUGGGGAGUACGUUCGCAAGAAUGAA